CCUACGGGAGGCAGCAGUGAGGAAUAUUGGUCACUGGUCGCGAGCCUGAUCCAGCCAAGUAGCGUGAAGGAUGCAUGCCCUACGGGUUUUAAACUUCUUUUAUAAAGGAAUAAAGUGAGGCACGUAUUCCUUUUUGUAUGUACUUUAUGAAUAUGGCUCGGCUAACUCCUUGCCAGCAGCCGCGGUAAUACGGAGGAUUCGAGCGUUAUCCAGAUUGAUUGGGAUUAAAGGGAGCGUAGAUGGGUGGUUAAGUCAGUUGUGCAAGUUUGCGGAGCAAUCGUAGAAUUGCAAUUGAUAAUGUCAGUCUUGAGUACAGGUGAGGGAAGCGGAAGUCGGGGUGUAGCGGUGAAAUGCUUAGAUAUUAGGAAGAACUCCGGUUGCGAAGGCAGCUGACGAAACUGUCACUGACAUUGAUGCUCGAAAGUGUGGGGAUCAAACAGGAUUAGAUACCCGAGUAGUC
rnacentral:rRNA from 1 species